rnacentral:rRNA from 1 species
AGAAUCAACGCUGGCGGCGUGCCUAACACAUGCAAGUCGAACGAGAAAGGGGAGCAAUCCCUGAGUAAAGUGGCGACCGGGUGAGUAACACGUGACUAACCUACCUUCGAGUGGGGGAUAACUCCGGGAAACCGGGGCUAAUACCGCAUAACAUCUUUGGAGUGGAAAUUCUGGAGAUCAAAGGAGCAAUUCGCUGGAAGAGGGGGUCGCGGCUGAUUAGCUAGUUGGCGGGGUAAUGGCCCACCAAGGCUUUGAUCGGUA